GGGGAAUAUUGCACAAUGGAGGGAACUCUGAUGCAGCGACGCCGCGUGAGUGAAGAAGGUCUUCGGAUCGUAAAACUCUGUCCUUGGUGACGAAAAAAAUGACGGUAGCCAAGGAGGAAGCCCCGGCUAACUACGUGCCAGCAGCCGCGGUAAUACGUAGGGGGCGAGCGUUGUCCGGAUUUACUGGGCGUAAAGGGUGAGUAGGCGGUUAUAUAUGUCAGGUGUAAAAAGCUAUGGCUUAACCAUAGUAAGCACUUGAAACUGUAUGACUUGAGUGCAGGAGAGGUAAGCGGAAUUCCUAGUGUAGCGGUGAAAUGCGUAGAUAUUAGGAGGAACACCGGUGGUGAAGGCGGCUUACUGGACUGUAACUGACGCUGAGUCACGAAAGCGUGGGUAGCAAAC
rnacentral:rRNA from 1 species